ACGAACGCUGGCGGCGCGCCUAACACAUGCAAGUCGAACGGGGUUAUACGGGAUGAAGUUUUCGGAUGGAAUUCUAUAUAACCUAGUGGCGGACGGGUGAGUAACACGUGAGCAACCUGCCUAUCAGAGGGGGAUAACGAUUGGAAACGAUCGCUAAUACCGCAUGACAUAGCGAAACCGCAUGGUUUUGCUAUCAAAGAUUUAUCGCUGAUAGAUGGGCUCGCGUCCGAUUAGAUAGUUGGUGAGGUAACGGCUCACCAAGUCGACGAUCGGUAGCCGGACUGAGAGGUCGAACGGCCACAUUGGGACUGAGACACGGCCCAGACUCCUACGGGAGGCAGCAGUGGGGGAUAUUGCACAAUGGGGGAAACCCUGAUGCAGCGACGCCGCGUGAGGGAAGACGGUCCUCUGGAUUGUAAACCUCUGUCUUCGGGGACGAAAGAAGACGGUACCCGAGGAGGAAGCCACGGCUAACUACGUGCCAGCAGCCGCGGUAAUACGUAGGGGGCAAGCGUUGUCCGGAAUUACUGGGUGUAAAGGGAGCGCAGGCGGAGAAGCAAGUCAGUGGUGAAAGGUAUGGGCUUAACCCAUAGCUGCCAUUGAAACUGUUUUCCUUGAGUGAAGUAGAGGCAGGCGGAAUUCCGAGUGUAGCGGUGAAAUGCGUAGAUAUUAGGAGGAACACCAGUGGCGAAGGCGGCCUGCUGGACGACAACUGACGCUGAGGCGCGAAAGCGUGGGGAGCAAACAGGAUUA
rnacentral:rRNA from 1 species